UGUGUGCCCGUUGCAGGGCUGGAGUCAGGGCCAGACCCAGAGCCCACCCAGGGAAGGGGGACCAGGGUCCCGCAGCAGUUCCUGCAUGGAGAGCGCGAGACCGUGUCCUGCAGUCCCAGGAGUCCCCAUCAUGUGCU